AUGCAGUCUCAUUCCCAUACUUUCAUUUUACGAGAUGAGAAUACUUCAAGGACAUUGGUUAAAUAUUUGAAACUGAGACAGGUUGGGUGGUACAGCCUAAUCAAAGGGAAUACUGGGCAGUACCGGACAGAGCAGCAGUCACAUCACAGAGAUGGCUUCACGUGUGAGGUCACUUCCUGCGAGGUCCUCUCGGUGCUACAGGACUUGUAUGAUACUAAACCUGAGAGUUUGGCUCAGGAGUCACGACUGAUAAUAUGUGAAGUUCCUCAUGAAACCAGAGACCAUAGGAAUUCAUUAUUGCUGGAGUUGAUGGUGUUUCUGUUUUAUAACCAUCUAAUAAAUUAGCAUUUAAUACUGAGAGAUUUCAUUUUAAGCUCCUAGAAUUGCUUUGUUUUAAGGAAAAUAUUUGCAGGCAGAGACAAGGGAAACCUUUCAGAAAAUGCGGGAGAUAAAAAUUUUAUCCAAGCAAAUGGAUCUUGGAUUUUGAUAUCAUUUUAUCUGUCAGAAUACUAAUCUGUGGUUAAAGAAAGUUUAAAUGUCAAAAAUGACUGAUCUAAAAUUCUCUUGAGUUCACCUAUUUUGUAUCUAUCUGUUUCUUCAUCCACCCUGGGUAUCCUUGUUUUUAAAUUCAUUUCAUAUGCUGAACAGAGUAUUAUAUUCAAAGUUUAAUAUUGAGCAAGACUUUCAUCAGAUGGACAGAUUUGCUUGACUGUCAAAGAAAAGAUAUAUUUAUCAUAUUUUGUCCAUUUGGUUUAGGUUGAGACCUUCAAAUAGCUGGCUUGGUAUUCUGCUUUUAUUUUCAAAUAUUCCAAUACAGUUAACAUAUUGGACAUUGUGGGAAUUCCAUAUUUUUGUUCUUUUAUCGACCUGAGUAUAUUUCUUUUUUUUUUCUAAAGAUUUGUUUUAUUUAUUUGAAAGACAGUCAUAGAGAGAGGUAGAGCCAGAGAGAGAGAGAGAGAGAGAGAGAGAGAGAGAGAAAGAGGUCUUCUAUCCACUGGCUCACUUCCCAAAUGACCACAAUGGCCAGAGCUGAGCCUAUCUGAAGCCAGGAGCUUCUUCUGGGUUUCCCAUGCAGGUGCAGGGACCAAGCACUUGGGCCAUCUUCUACUGCCUUCCCAGGCCACAGCAGAGAGCUGGAUCGGAAAUGGAGCAGCCAGGACUCAAACUGGUGCACAUAUGGGAUGCUGGCACUGCAGGUAGUGGCUUUACCCUCUAGGCCACAGCACUGGCCCCUGAGUAUAUUUCUUUUGGGGUGGGAUAUCAUUUAUUUAAAAUGAGAACCUGUGAAUCAGGUUCAAAUGGCAAGGGUGUGUGCGUAUGUGUGUGUGUAUGUAUGUAUGUGUGU
rnacentral:lncRNA from 1 species